rnacentral:rRNA from 1 species
AGAGUUGAUUCUGGCUCAGGAUGAACGCUAGCGGCAGGCCUAAUACAUGCAAGUCGGACGGUAAAUGCCCCUUCGGGGGCAUGAGAGUGGCGGACGGGUGCGUAACGCGUAUGCAACCAACCCCGACCAGGCGGACAGCCGGUGGAAACGCCGGAUAACACGCCAUGCGGCCCUGAGGGGGCAUCCCCUUUGGGUCAAAGCGGAGACGCGGGACGGGACGGGCAUGCGUGCCAUUAGAUAGUCGGCGGGGUGACGGCCCACCGAGUCUACGAUGGCCAGGGGAUCUGAGAGGACGGUCCCCCACACUGGUACUGAGACACGGACCAGACUCCUGCGGGAGGCAGCAGGUAAGGGAUAUUGGUCAAUGGCCGAAAGGCUGAACCAGCCAAUGCCGCGUGGAGGGAAUGACGGCCCGUACGGGUCGUGAACCUUCUUUGACCGGGGACAAGGGCGGCGUCGCGAACGUCGUUUGAGGGUACCGGUAGAAUAAGCGUCGGCUAACUCCGUGCCAGCAGCGGC